rnacentral:rRNA from 1 species
UACGGAGGGUGCAAGCGUUAUCCGGAUUCACUGGGUUUAAAGGGUGCGUAGGUGGGCUAGUAAGUCCGUGGUGAAAUCUCCAAGCUUAACUUGGAAACUGCCGUGGAUACUAUUAGUCUUGAAUAUUGUGGAGGUAAGCGGAAUAUGUCAUGUAGCGGUGAAAUGCGUAGAUAUCUGGAGGAACACCGGUGGCGAAGGCGGCAUCCUGGACCGACACUGACACUGAGGAGCGAAAGCCAGGGGAGCAAACGGG